rnacentral:rRNA from 1 species
UACGUAGGCAGCAAGCGUUGUUCGGAAUUACUGGGCGUAAAGAGUGUGUAGGCGGUGCUCUAAGUCUGUUGUGAAAUCUCCCGGCUUAACCGGGAGGGUGCGGCGGAAACUGGAGUGCUUGAGGGUGGGAGAGGUAAGCGGAAUUCCAGGUGUAGCGGUGAAAUGCGUAGAUAUCUGGAGGAACACCGGUGGCGAAGGCGGCGUUCUGGACUGCAACUGACACUGAUGAACGAAAGCCAGGGGAGCAAACGGG